rnacentral:rRNA from 1 species
UACGGGGGGAGCAAGCGUUGUUCGGAUUUACUGGGCGUAAAGAGCUCGUAGGCGGCUUGUUGCGUCGACUGUGAAAACCCGCGGCUUAACUGCGGGCUUGCAGUUGAUACGGGCAGGCUAGAGUUCGGUAGGGGAGACUGGAAUUCCUGGUGUAGCGGUGAAAUGCGUAGAGAUCAGGAAGAACACCGGUGGCGAAGGCGGGUCUCUGGGCAACAACGUGACGCUGAGGAGCGAAAGCGUGGGGAGCGAACAGG